UACGGAGGGGGCUAGCGUUGUUCGGAAUUACUGGGCGUAAAGCGCACGUAGGCGGCUUUGUAAGUUAGAGGUGAAAGCCCGGGGCUCAACUCCGGAAUUGCCCUUAAGACUGCAUCGCUAGAAUUAUGGAGAGGUAAGUGGAAUUCCGAGUGUAGAGGUGAAAUUCGUAGAUAUUCGGAAGAACACCAGUGGCGAAGGCGACUUACUGGACACAUAUUGACGCUGAGGUGCGAAAGCGUGGGGAGCAAACAGG
rnacentral:rRNA from 1 species